GGAUGUAAGGGCGAUCUGGCUGCAACAUCUGUCACCCAGUAUUGAUUUGUGACUAGGCCCUUCCUGUCUUGCUGCUCCAUAUGUGUCCCUCCCAAAGCUGCAUGCUCGGUUGAGGAGAAACACCUUGCAGGUCCUAAGGGUAUACCACGAGUAGCUGCACUCCCCUGCUAGAAUCUCCAAACAAGCUCUCAAGGUCCAUUUGUAGGAGAAUGUAGGGUAAUCAAGUUUCUAAGACUCCAGACACAUCCAAAUGAGGCUGCUGCAGUCUGCGUUUCUUU
rnacentral:snRNA from 1 species